rnacentral:tRNA from 1 species
GCGGGCAUGGUCUAAAGGUUGGGCCGCAGCCUUCCAAGCUGCUGAUGCGAGUUCGAGUCUCGCUGUCCGCU